GGGAAGUCUAUAGAGAAAUCUUUAGAAUACCAGUAGAGUUCCAGUAUGUAUCACAACCUUAGAGACAAGAGAACAGAUAAGGUGAGGUCCUUGUGUCUUCCAAUAAAAGGGACUGACCCUGUCUGCAAAAACAAUAGUAAAUGUUCCCAAAGGGAACCAAAGUAUUGGAAUGACACUCCUGUAUAGAGUUGUAAACUAAUUAGAUCAAGUCCCCCAUGUGCCGAAUUAAAGUGUGAUAAAGGAAGAUAACACUACAUAAUACUAUGCCACAGCUAAUCCAAUUGCUUAAUUAUGAAAAAUACCUUUAUUAUUGCUAAGAUUGCGUGUUAUAUCUACUAAUUGUUAAAAAGUAAUAACAGGGAAAGUGGGGAAAUAAUUUAAACAGUACAAGAGGAGGGGUAUCAUGCUAAUCCUCCGAGCCACUUAUGUAAAGACUAAGGGUAAGUCCUCCCUAAAAAAAUCUCAUAGUGACCUCAACUCAAAUCAUAGUAGGGUCUAUAGUAUAUAUAUCUGCUGGAUAGGGGAUUAGAAUAACCCUUAUAAGCAGGCUUGAAAGUGGCUAACUUCUAGGACAUCCAAUCAAAGUCUCCACUAGGAGUUAUUGUAUAGAGCAG